UACAUACUCCCUCCGUUCCGAAUUACUUGUCGCACGUAUGGAUGUAUCUAGAUGUAUUUUAGUUCUAGAUACAUCCAUUUCAGCGACGAGUAAUUUGAAACGGAGGGAGUAUAUG
rnacentral:pre_miRNA from 1 species